rnacentral:misc_RNA from 1 species
GAUGAAGAACGCAGCGAAAUGCGAUAAGUAAUGUGAAUUGCAGAAUUCAGUGAAUCAUCGAAUCUUUGAACGCACAUUGCGCCCGCCAGUAUUCUGGCGGGCAUGCCUGUCUGAGCGUCAUUUCAACCCUCAUGCCCCUAGGGCGUGGUGUUGGGGAUCGGCCAAAGCCCGCAAGGGACGGCCGGCCCCUAAAUCUAGUGGCGGACCCGUCGUGGCCUCCCCUGCGAAGUAGUAAUAUUCCGCAUAGGAGAAGCGACGAGCCCCUGCCGUUAAACCCCCAACUUUCUCAGGUUGACCUCAGAUCAGGUAGGAAUACCCGCUGAACUUAAGCAUAUCAAUAAGCGGAGGA